GACGAACGCUGGCGGCGUGCCUAAUACAUGCAAGUUGAGCGCUGAAGGUUGGUACUUGUACCGACUGGAUGAGCAGCGAACGGGUGAGUAACGCGUGGGGAAUCUGCCUUUGAGCGGGGGACAACAUUUGGAAACGAAUGCUAAUACCGCAUAAAAACUUUAAACACAAGUUUUAAGUUUGAAUGAUGCAAUUGCAUCACUCAAAGAUGAUCCCGCGUUGUAUUAGCUAGUUGGUGAGGUAAAGGCUCACCAAGGCGAUGAUACAUAGCCGACCUGAGAGGGUGAUCGGCCACAUUGGGACUGAGACACGGCCCAAACUCCUACGGGAGGCAGCAGUAGGGAAUCUUCGGCAAUGGACGAAAGUCUGACCGAGCAACGCCGCGUGAGUGGAGAAGGUUUUCGGAUCGUAAAACUCUGUUGGUAGAGAAGAACGUUGGUGAGAGUGGAAAGCUCAUCAAGUGACGGUAACUACCCAGAAAGGGACGGCUAACUACGUG
rnacentral:rRNA from 1 species